AUUGAACGCUGGCGGCAGGCUUAACACAUGCAAGUCGAGCGGAGAUGAGGUGCUUGCACCUUAUCUUAGCGGCGGACGGGUGAGUAAUGCUUAGGAAUCUGCCUAUUAGUGGGGGACAACAUUCCGAAAGGAAUGCUAAUACCGCAUACGUCCUACGGGAGAAAGCAGGGGAUCUUCGGACCUUGCGCUAAUAGAUGAGCCUAAGUCGGAUUAGCUAGUUGGUGGGGUAAAGGCCUACCAAGGCGACGAUCUGUAGCGGGUCUGAGAGGAUGAUCCGCCACACUGGGACUGAGACACGGCCCAGACUCCUACGGGAGGCAGCAGUGGGGAAUAUUGGACAAUGGGGGGAACCCUGAUUCAGCCAUGCCGCGUGUGUGAAGAAGGCCUUAUGGUUGUAAAGCACUUUAAGCGAGGAGGAGGCUACCUGGAUUAAUACUCUGGGAUAGUGGACGUUACUCGCAGAAUAAGCACCGGCUAACUCUGUGCCAGCCGCCGCGGUAAAAC
rnacentral:rRNA from 1 species